AUUGAACGCUGGCGGCAGGCCUAACACAUGCAAGUCGAGCGGAUGAGGGGUGCUUGCACUCUGAUUCAGCGGCGGACGGGUGAGUAAUGCCUAGGAAUCUGCCCGAUAGUGGGGGACAACGUUUCGAAAGGAACGCUAAUACCGCAUACGUCCUACGGGAGAAAGUGGGGGAUCUUCGGACCUCACGCUAUCGGAUGAGCCUAGGUCGGAUUAGCUAGUUGGUGAGGUAAUGGCUCACCAAGGCUACGAUCCGUAACUGGUCUGAGAGGAUGAUGAGGCACACUGGAACUGGGACACGGUCCAGACUCCUACGGGAGGCAGCAGUGGGGAAUAUUGGACGAUGGGCGAAAGCCUAAUCCAGCCAUGCCGCGUGUGUGAAGAAGGUCUUCGGAUUGUAAAGCACUUUAAGUUGGGAGGAAGGGCUGUAGGCUAAUAUCCUGCAGUUUUGACGUUACCAACAGAAUAAGCGCCGGCUAACUUCGUGCCAGCAGCCGCGGUAA
rnacentral:rRNA from 1 species